rnacentral:rRNA from 1 species
UACGGGGGGAGCAAGCGUUGUUCGGAUUUACUGGGCGUAAAGGGCGCGUAGGCGGUCGUGACAAGUCACUUGUGAAAUCUCCGGGCUUAACUCGGAAAGGUCAAGUGAUACUGUCGGACUAGAGUACAGAAGGGGCAACUGGAAUUCUCGGUGUAGCGGUGAAAUGCGUAGAUAUCGAGAGGAACACCUGCGGCGAAGGCGGGUUGCUGGGCUGAUACAGACGCUGAGGCGCGAAAGCUAGGGGAGCGAACGGG